rnacentral:rRNA from 1 species
UACGAAGGGGGCUAGCGUUGUUCGGAAUUACUGGGCGUAAAGCGCACGUAGGCGGACAUUUAAGUCAGGGGGUGAAAUCCCAGAGCUCAACUCUGGAACUGCCUUUGAUACUGGGUGUCUUGAGUAUGGAAGAGGUGAGUGGAAUUCCGAGUGUAGAGGUGAAAUUCGUAGAUAUUCGGAGGAACACCAGUGGCGAAGGCGGCUCACUGGUCCAUUACUGACGCUGAGGUGCGAAAGCGUGGGGAGCAAACAGG